GGUGAUGAAAAUGUUUCCAAAACAACAACAAACUUUCCCAACAGAGUUCCUAUGUCCUAAAGAGGGAGACCCAGCCGAUCCCUGAUGGAGAAGUUCAUACUUGGAGGAAUCAGAGGCCAGAGAGACAGCUCAGCGGUGAAGAUGGUCCAAAUUCGACACCCAGCCUCCACAUGUUUGUAACUCCAGUUCCAGGAGAGCCACACCUUCCUCUGGCCUCCUCUAGCACCAGACACCCACGUGGUGCACAGACAUAUAUAUAUAGACAAAACACCUAUACACGUAAAAAAUAAAUAAUUUUUAAGAGC
rnacentral:lncRNA from 1 species